CCAGGGCACCAGAGGCCAAAGACCAUCUCGCUGGAGCACAGCUGGUAAAACCUCACCGAACAAUCCAGCACCCCAGCUCGGCAAAGGACGGCCAGGAGCAGAUCAACCAGACCACUGUUGGACCUCCAUGAGACCUUCACCGACGCUGCCAGGAGCAGGUUGGGGAGUUCCCUCUCCACCAUCCCGGAAUUAUCCGACGAGGACGAAUUUCCACCACUGCCAGCCUCCAGUGUUGCCGGUGCCCGGACUGGCACAAUGGGAGAACCAGGAGCCCUGGUCGUAUUAACAGGAGGAUCACUAAACAUGAUGAGCGGCUUAAUAAAGGCUAAUGUAGCCAACCACACCGUAUCUGAGACCUCC